GGGGAAUUUUCCGCAAUGGGCGCAAGCCUGACGGAGCAAUACCGCGUGAGGGAGGAAGGCUCUUGGGUCGUAAACCUCUUUUCUCAGGGAAGAACAAAAUGACGGUACCUGAGGAAUCAGCAUCGGCUAACUCCGUGCCAGCAGCCGCGGUAAUACGGAGGAUGCAAGCGUUAUCCGGAAUGAUUGGGCGUAAAGCGUCCGUAGGUGGUUUUGUAAGUCCGUGGUUAAAGCGCGAAGCUUAACUUCGUAAGGGCCAUGGAAACUACAAGACUUGAGUAAAGUAGGGGUAGAGGGAAUUCCCAGUGUAGCGGUGAAAUGCGUAGAGAUUGGGAAGAACACCGGUGGCGAAAGCGCUCUACUGGACUUAAACUGACACUGAGGGACGAAAGCUAGGGGAGCGAAAGGGAUUAGAUACCCCUGUAGUCCUAGCCGUAAACGAUGGAUACUAGGUGUUGCCCGUAUCGACCCGGGCAGUGCCGUAGCUAACGCGUUAAGUAUCCCGCCUGGGGAGUACGCACGCAAGUGUGAAACUCAAAGGAAUUGACGGGGGCCCGCACAAGCGGUGGAGUAUGUGGUUUAAUUCGAUGCAACGCGAAGAACCUUACCAGGGCUUGACAUGUCUGGAAUCUCGGCGAAAGUUGAGAGUGCCUUCGGGAACCAGAACACAGGUGGUGCAUGGCUGUCGUCAGCUCGUGUCGUGAGAUGUUGGGUUAAGUCCCGCAACGAGCGCAACCCUCGUUUUUAGUUGCCAUCAUUAAGUUGGGCACUCUAGAAAGACUGCCGGUGACAAACCGGAGGAAGGUGGGGAUGACGUCAAGUCAGCAUGCCCCUUACGCCCUGAGCUACACACGUACUACAAUGCUAUGGACAAAGAGCAGCCAACUGGCGACAGUGCGCUAAUCUCAUAAACCAUGGCUCAGUUCAGAUUGCAGGCUGCAACUCGCCUGCAUGAAGGCGGAAUCGCUAGUAAUCGCAGGUCAGCAUACUGCGGUGAAUCCGUUCCCGGGCCUUGUACACACCGCCCGUCACACCAUGGGAGUUGGUCACGCCCGAAGUCGUUACUCUAACCCUUGUGGAAGAGGACGCCGAAGGUAGGGCUGAUGACUGGGGUGAAGUCGUAACAAGGUAGCCGUACCGGAAGGUGUGGCUGGAUCACCUCCUUUUAGGGAGACCUCACACUACCAGAACCGAAACAUACUGGAAUAAGUUAGGUAGAUGUCAUCCCAAGGUCGAGCGAUGUUUUCGAGAGUGGCUUUCAAACUUUAUAUUCUAGUUCAGCUAGCUUGCGGGCUAUUAGCUCAGUUGGUUAGAGCGCACCCCUGAUAAGGGUGAGGUCCCCAGUUCAAGUCCGGGAUAGCCCACUUAUCAUCUAGCAAAUAGUUAAGAGCGCAUCAAACAUGCGAGCAUUAAUUAAAUGAACUAGGGGGUUUAGCUCAGUUGGUAGAGCGCCUGCUUUGCAAGCAGGAUGUCAGCGGUUCGAGUCCGCUAACCUCCAUCUGUGAACGCACAGAAGAUCGUGAUUCUAGAAUAUGUCCGUGAUGACAGGAAAUGAUUUCAGCACCUACUAAUUGAGUAGUCUGCUGGACUUAGCGUCCAGUUCGCACCUUGACAACUGCAUAAUAAUCAACAGUCAGGUAGUCGUAAUGAAAAUUACAGACAAUCCAAAAAGAGGAUAGAAUCGCGCUGAGGUUUCCUUAGUGUGCGUUCUAUCCAAAAAACAAAUCAUAGAAACUUGUGACUGAGUUCUAGGGUAAGACUAAUUUAUUAGUGAGCCAAAGAACAAAGAAACAAAGUGGUCAAGCUACAAAGGGCUUACGGUGGAUACCUAGGCACACAGAGGCGAAG
rnacentral:sRNA from 1 species